rnacentral:rRNA from 1 species
UACAGAGGGUGCUAGCGUUGUUCAGAAUCAUUGGGCGUAAAGGGCGUGUAGGCGGUUUGUUAAGUCAUGUGUGAAAUCCCUCGGCUCAACCGGGGAACGACGCAUGAAACUGGCAAGCUAGAGUACCAAAGAGGGGGGUGGAAUUCCCGGUGUAGCGGUGAAAUGCGCAGAUAUCAGGAGGAACACCGGUGGCGAAGGCGGGUCUCUGGGCCGAUACUGACGCUGAGGAGCGAAAGCGUGGGGAGCGAACAGG